CUGCAGCGGUCGGGGUGACCGGUGAUAAGGUCUUUUGCAAAUACAAAGCGUGCAGGCUAUUUUCAGCAGCACGGAUUGGAAUGGUUGCACAUGCUAAGGGGGGAAGCUUAGAAGAUGGUAAUUUUCUUUGCAACAACCUGAGUGUGGUGGACUUCAGAAAGAAUGAGUCUGCAACUCGGAGCUCUUCUGCAAGCCUUCACUGCUCUGCUGGCCAAGUCACCAUAACAUUGGCAUCUCCAAACUGCAGGAUCCUCCUCUUCCCAGUGCCCAUAUGGAUCUGCCUAACGCCCGACUCCUCACCUCCUCCUGCAGAGCACGGGCUGAUCAUAAAGUAAAAUAACAACAAAAUAAAAUCCAUGGGUCAAACUCUUUCCAGCCAGGAAGCCCCAUUUUCUCAAAGCAGGAGGCUUCCAUGGGAAUGCUCUGCCUCUGUUAGGGCCUGCCUGCAGAGAUGCUGAGCAAGAAGCUUUCAUCUGUGCAAAAUCAAGGGCUCAUUGACAAAAGGGUGCAUUCCUCCCACAGAACCAUCUCUUCUGUCUAAGCAACCACACAGCCACCUAUGGAAAAGGGAACGGAGGCCAAAUAGUAAAUCUGACAAAUGUCCACUAUGUACUAGAUUUUCUGGGCAAGGCUUUAAAACAAAGCAUUUUUGUUCUCCAUACCCCCAGCUCCCAGCACAUGACCAGGGCUGUAAAUUACUGUAGAG
ensembl:lncRNA